rnacentral:rRNA from 1 species
GACGACGCUGGCGGUGUGCUUAACACAUGCAAGUGGUGCGACGAACCAGAGCUUGCUCUGGGGCAAAGCCGCGAACGGGUGAGUAACACGUGGGUAAUCUACCCCGAUGACCGGGACAACCCGAGGAAACUCGGGCUAAUACCGGAUGUGGUACGGAGACAUAAGUCUCUUUACUAAAGGUAGCUUCGGCUUCCGCAUUGGGAGGGGCCCGCGGCCCAUUAGCUAGUUGGUGGGGUCAAGGCCUACCAAGGCAACGAUGGGUAGCUGGUCUGAGAGGACGAUCAGCCACACUGGGACUGAGACACGGCCCAGACUCCUACGGGAGGCAGCAGUGGGGAAUCUUGCGCAAUGCGCGAAAGCGUGACGCAGCAACACCGCGUGAGGGAAGACGGCCUUAGGGUUGUAAACCUCUUUCAGAUGGGACGAAGGUGAUGCGGUGAAUAGCCGAUGUCAUUGACGGUACCGUCAGAAGAAGCUCCGGCUAACUACGUG